AUGGUAUAAUAAAAUCGGAGGCCACGACUGUUUACUAAAAACACAAUUCAGAGCAAUAAUUAAUAUAAUAGUAUUCUGGAUGAAAUUUGCCCAAUGCCAUUAAUAUAAGAGAGGUAAUAUUAAAGUUACUAAUCGAAAGUCUGGUUAAUAGCGGUCUUAACUAUGAGGAUCCUAAGGUAGCAAAAUAAAUUGGCCAUUAAAUGUGGUCUAGUAUCAAUAAUGUAACGAUGGUCUCACUGUCUCUACAACUUGCUCAGUGAAAUUGAAUUGCGAGUGCAGAUG
rnacentral:rRNA from 1 species